GUCAGGUAGCUCUCUGUCUGCAGGCUGAUGUGUCAUGACAUGUCUACAGUCCCACAGGGGAUUCAAACCAGGAGGUUAAAUGUAUCCAUCCUCCCUUGAACCAGUGAUCGCACCCGCCAAUCAAGACCACAUUAAUCAACCAUCAUGUCAAGCGGCAUGGGACAGAGAAAGUGCUCAGCCCUCCAUCCAUCCAUCACUCUGGUUGUAACAUGUCAACAAUUUGCAUAUUGUAGGCAUAGAUACAAAUACCGUACAGACAGAAUGGCCAGUAAAGUGGAGAAUUGGCUUCAGGUGAUUUGGGGAAGAUCUUAUCUUCUGUUAACAGAGGAAUGACACCAUAAUGGAGCAGCAGGGGUGCAAUUACCUUUCAGCCCUCCUCCUCCUCCUUCUUCUCUUUUUCCCGCCACCUUCACCUCAGCCUUCUCUGACAAAUUAAGAUUAAUGAUGGAGAUAAGUAAGAAACCAGCCUGCCUUCCAA